rnacentral:rRNA from 1 species
CCUACGGGGGGCAGCAGUGGGGAAUAUUGGACAAUGGGGGCAACCCUGAUCCAGCCAUGCCGCGUGUGUGAAGAAGGCCCUCGGGUUGUAAAGCACUUUCAGUGAGGAAGAACGCCUGGUGGUUAAUACCCAUCAGGAAAGACAUCACGCACAGAAGAAGCACCGGCUAACUCCGUGCCAGCAGCCGCGGUAAUACGGAGGGUGCGAGCGUUAAUCGGAAUUACUGGGCGUAAAGCGCGCGUAGGUGGCUUGAUAAGCCGGUUGUGAAAGCCCCGGGCUCAACCUGGGAACGGCAUCCGGAACUGUCAAGCUAGAGUGCAGGAGAGGAAGGUAGAAUUCCCGGUGUAGCGGUGAAAUGCGUAGAGAUCGGGAGGAAUACCAGUGGCGAAGGCGGCCUUCUGGACUGACACUGACACUGAGGUGCGAAAGCGUGGGUAGCAAACAGGAUUAGAUACCCGAGUAGUC